ACCCGGAGAGCUCAGUCGGUAGAGCUUUAGGCUUUUAACCUAACGGUGCAGGGUUUGAGUCCCUGUUAGUGGCG
rnacentral:tRNA from 1 species